UACGGCCACAUCACUUUGAAAGAACUGUUCCCGUAAGAUCUCCGAAAUUAAGCAACCUCGAGCCUGGUCAGUACCUAGAUGUGUGACCACUUGGCAAUACCACGUGCUGUAAG